UGGCAAACUAGACACUUUUUC
rnacentral:snRNA from 1 species